GUCGGGUCCAAUCGACUUUCGAGACUGUGGUGAUGCUCCGACAGGAGCGCUAGCCCCAGCAGGCUGAUGGAGCGUUGACAAGUUCUGUCAAAAAAGCCUUAUGAAUCAGGCCCCCGGGUAGCUUCGCUAACCGGGGGCUUUGU
rnacentral:sRNA from 1 species